rnacentral:rRNA from 1 species
AGCGAACGCUGGCGGCAGGCUUAACACAUGCAAGUCGAGCGGGCCCUUCGGGGUCAGCGGCAGACGGGUGAGUAACACGUGGGAACGUACCCUUUGGUUCGGAAUAACGCUGGGAAACUAGCGCUAAUACCGGAUACGCCCUUAUGGGGAAAGGCGUGCUGCCGAAGGGUCGGGCCGCGUCUGAUUAGCUAGUUGGGGGUGUAAUGGCCUACCAAGGCGACGAUCAGUAGCUGGUCUGAGAGGAUGAUCAGCCACACUGGGACUGCGACACGGCCCAGACUGCGACGGGAGGCAGCAGUGGGGAAUAUUGGACAAGGGGCGCAAGCCUGAUCCAGCCAUGCCGCGUGAGUGGUGAAGGCCUUAGGGUUGUAAAGCUCUUUUGUCCGGGACGAUAAUGACGGUACCGGAAGAAUAAGCCCCGGCUAACUUCGUG